GUGCGUAGGUGGCGAGGUAAGUCGGAUGUGAAAGCUCGGAGCUCAACUCCGAAAUGGCAUUGGAAACUACCUUGCUCGAGGGUUGGAGGGGGGACUGGAAUGCUUGGUGUAGCAGUGAAAUGCGUAGAUAUCAAGCGGAACACCAGUGGCGAAGGCGAGUCCCUGGACAACUCCUGACACUGAGGCACGAAAGCUAGGGGAGCAAACAGGAUUAGAUACCCUGGUAGUCCUAGCCGUAAACGGUGCUUGCUUGCUGUAAGAGGAAUCGACCCCUCUUGUGGCGGAGCCAACGCGUUAAGCAAGCCGCCUGGGAAGUACGGUCGCAAGAUUAAAACUCAAAGAAAUUGACGGGGGCCUGCACAAGCGGUGGAGUAUGUGGCUCAAUUCGAUGCAACGCGAAGAACCUUACCUGGCCUUGACAUGUACGUAGUAGAAGGGUGAAAGCCUGACGAGGUAGCAAUACCAGCGUACACAGGUGCUGCAUGGCUGUCGUCAGCUCGUGUCGUGAGAUGUUGGGUUAAGUCCCGCAACGAGCGCAACCCUUGUGUCCUGUU
rnacentral:rRNA from 1 species